UUUACUGAAGAUUAUUAUGUAUAUAUCUGUCUGAAUUCCUUAUCCUCUCAUGUCGUCUCUUUCAGAAGCCAACUCCCCCCAAACCCUAACUAAUCCGCCGCCCUCAGAUCCUCCACCACAGCCAGCGCCUUCACCUCUAAUUGACACCAAAAUAACACCCUAUAGACUCUAUAACCCCUCACCACAAAUCUCCAUCCUAUUUCCUUUAAACGUUUCUACAGAUCCUUAAAUAUCAAAUCAAAAAAUUGAGUCCUAAAUCCCAAAAUAUCAAAUGGGUAGGAUUUUGAAGAUUUGGGAUCGAAAUCGACUUUAGUCAUGUGUUUUAAGUUGAGAACACACGAUUAAGGUCCAUCUCGACGAAAAUCAAAGAUUUCAUUGAAGCAUUGGUUCUGAAAUUGUGGUUCGCUUAGUUCUAACAAUCAAUUUGGUGUGUUUUGUUUUUCUUUUAUUUAUUGUUCUUAUCUUCUUAUAUUCCUCUGCUUUUGCUACUUUUAUCUGUUUUUUUUGCAUGUGUUUCAUUAGAUUAGGUUAGUUUCUUAUUUCGUUGAUUUUAACAUCUGGGCCAUAAUCGAAUUUUAGUUCGUAUGUUUGCAUGAGCUUUUCUGCCCCAUCUUGCUUUUGGAAUUAUGAAAUCAGACCUGGGCCCAAAGAAAGAAUUAGCCCAAGUCUUAUGUAGAUUAAGCUGUUUGUUCUUAGCUUUUUGACCCAUUUUUGGACUCGUUUAAAUAUUGGGUCAGCUUGACCCAUGAGCUUCAAUGUAAAAAAAUAGGAUAACUAGGGGGCAAUUUGGGAAAAUUCCUUGAGGAAUCUUGCAGUAACUGCCUUUAAAAGCUUCUAGAAAGCUAAAAUAUAGACUUGCUUGGCAAGCAAGCCAAGAUUUGAGGGAUUAUUAAAUAAAAAUAAAAUUUAAAAAGGACUAAAAUGCAAAUUUGAAAGUUGAUAAUUAUCCUAGUUGCUUGCCUAUAAAGCCAUUGUUACCUUAAGCUAAAAUCAGAUUUGAGAGAGCUGAAAAAUACAAAAAAUUGAAACGGCUAAGAAUUUCAUAAAAUUUCAUUGUUUUAUUGAGUACUUCUUUGUGAUUUCUUAGAUUUCCAACUCCUGAAAUGAAUGCUGAUUUAUCUAAGGGCUGAAAUGGUUUGAUUUUGAUAGAAUUGAGGGAAAAAAUCCAGAAAAAGAUAAAAAUGGCAGAAAUUUUUACUGUUUCAUUGAGUUUCAGAGAUUUUUAACUUCUUUUCAACUCCUGAAACUAUAUUAAUUUAUCCGAGUGGGAAAUGGACUGAAUUUUGUUGUCGAAAGGUUGAUCUAAAGUUUUUCUGGGCUGCUGUUUGUUUGAACUGGUUACAUUGAGCUUUAUACACCAUUUCUGGAUUUGGAGCUGUUUAGUUUGUUGUUUUGGUGCGAAUUUCUAUUGCUGCUCUUGUUGAUACUUCACUGCCUAUUUUUGUUCACUUCCAGGUAUACAUUUAUGCACUUCAAUUGAAUGUAAAGUUUGAUUUGGGAAUGAAAAGUGGAAUCUGUAGCUUUGAGCCGUGUUCACUUUAGUUGGGUUGAUAAUAUAGUUUACUUGUUUGCUUUGUUUUGUUUAAUACUUUCAUAUACUAUCUCUCCAACCCUGCGCAAUAUAAUUGAAGACUUAGCAUCUGAGUAUCAUGUGUUGUGAUAGAUUAGUUUGAGGUCCAUCUCAGUAUAGUUCUUUACAUGUAUUCAUUUUUACUAUUUGUUUGUUUUAAGGUCAGUAAUUGGACUAGUUUAAAUACAGUUGGUUUGAGUUUGUUUUUAGGCUGUUAGAUUUGUGUUGAGGGAUGUUUCUCAGGCCAUUUGUAAGGUCAAUAUCUGCUUGUUUGGGGGGGGAAAUCAUCAUGUGCUUCAAUGUUUACUUUAGAUCUUAUUGAAGUUGGUUUUAUGUUUAGCUUAUAUUUUCUUUUAGAAUUCGAGUUUUGUAUCACGCUAGUGCAUUUUUAGAAUUCAAGCAGCGCGUUUGUUUCUUGAAGAACUGUGAUUCAAGCCAUUAAUUGAUUCAAUGAGUUCCAAGCCUACUAACAGUAAUAUGUGGAUGAUAUAGUUUGUGGGAUGUGAAUUAUUAUUGUUCUAUUUAGUCCAAUACAGUUGUUGCAUUUUCAUGGCAAAAAUUAAUUUAGAAAUACGUGAAAAGUACCACUAGAAGUCAAGCUCUUCAAGUUAGGAACUUUUUACUCCAAAAGGCGCUCAUUAAUUUGGUUCAUAAAUUCAUGCCCGUACCUUUUGGUGAGCACGUUCUUGAUCAAUAAAAUGGGGGAGUGUGGUAUUGAGCCUAGUACGGGCCCAGAUGGGACUCAUCAGCUUCAGGCUCCUUUUCUCAUCAUGAUUGGGGCUCUUCUGAGCCCAAGGCUUAAUGAUGUUAGAGGUCUACAUUUGCUUAUUUAAAAUAAUUUCCUCCAGGCUUAUGGGUAUCUAAUACAUUGCUUUAGAUCAUUUCAUAAGUCUAGUAUCAUUUUUUAGAAUCUGAGUUUUGUAUCACGGUUAUCUUGUGCAUUUUUAGAAUUCAAGCAGGGCGUUUGUGUUCUUGAAGAACUGUGAUUUAAGCCAUCAAUUUACGGUUAAAUGAGUUCCAAGCCUGCUAACAGUAAUAUGUUGAUGAUGUAGUUUAUUCAAAGUGGGAUGUGAAUUCUUAUAUUUCUAUAUAGUCCAAAAGGAUUGUUGCAUUUUCAUGGCAAGAAUUGGUUCAGAAAUGCGUGAAAAGUACCACUAGAAGUCGACCUCUUCAAGUCAAUCAUUUUUUUACUCCGAAUAGGCACUCAUUAAUUUGGUUCAUAGAUUCAUGCCUGUAUCUGAAAGUGAGCACAAUCUUGAUCAAUAAAAUAAGAGAGUGCGGUGUUGGGCAUAGCGCAAGCCCAGAUGAGGACUCGUCAGCUUGAUACUCUUUUCCUCAUCAUUGGGCUCUUUUGAGCCCAAGGCUUAACGAUGUCAGAGGACUGCCCAUUUCUUAUUUAAAGUAAUUUCCUCCGGUCUUGUGGGUAUCUAAUACAUUGCUUUUGAUCAUUUCAUAGGUUAGAGUCAUUAUAUAAAAAUAAUUCGAAUCCUUUAAGUUAUCCGUUAAUUAAAUAAUGAGGGUUGAGCCAUACUAUAAAUAGCUUAUGGCCCUCAUGAGUUAGUUUGAAUUCUCUUUCAAGUAAAUAAUUUGAGGUGUGUCAUUCCGAACAAAAAUGACAUUGCAUGGGCGUGGCCAUCAUUUUAAUUAGUUUCAACUUAAUCUUAGAAUUCGAGGCGUGUCAUUUAGCAAAACUUUCAUGGCCCUCGCAAAGUUUAAAAUGUGUAGUUGCUUUAAGCGCGUAUUUUAAAUAUUACCUUCCUAAACUCGGGUGUGCAUUUCAUGUAACCCAAAUCCAAAUCCUUAUAACGUUGAAUAAAAUGUGUUUCGGAUUGUGGGUGCAUUUCAUGUGGCCUGAUCCAAAGACCUAUUUUAAACGACAUUAAAUCUCCUUUAAAAAGGAAUAAAAGUGGUUAAAAGUAAAAUGCACAUAUGUUUAUAAUUAUUUUAAAUUCAGAUAAUUAUGCUGAUAAUAAUAGUUGAGCGACCGUGAUAGAACCAUAGAGCUCGAGAAUGCCUAACACCUUCUCCUAGGUUUACAGAAUUCCUUACCCGGAUUUCUGGUUCGCAGACUAUUAAACAUAGUCAAUCUUUUUCUCGAGUCAGGAUUUGAAGCGGUGACUUGGGACACCAUAAAAUUAGCCCAAGUGGUGACUCUGAGUUUUAAUAUAAAUAAUUCUCAUUUCGAUUUUCCUUUAAUUGGAAAAAACUUCUUUAUACUCCUUUUUGGGGUGUGGUGAAAAAAAGGAGGCGUUAUAGCUCUGACAACUCUGCCGGGGAUCGAACCCAAAAUCUCUCGAUCAGGGUUCAAGAAUUCGAGCUUGGAUAAAUUGUUAUAUUUGGCUUUAUCUAAUUUUGUUACAUAUUUGGGCCUAAUAUGCUAAAUGAUGCUUUUUACUACUUUAAUAUUGAUGAACUGUAUAUAAGUUGUUACGAAUCCCUCCUCUCGCUGAGUCUUCUAAAUCUUGAAGGAGUAUGCACUUCGUGUGAUUUCUUUUCUGUUAGAGUCAAUUUCCAAAUUUAGAAUGAGGUUCAGACAAGUUGUAAAGCCGAUGAAGCUUUUGUAUUCCCGGUACGCUCUCUCCUCCCCCUCCCCCAGCUCAAGUUGUCCGCUCGGGUAAGCUAGGUCUAGAACAGUAAAUUAAGGUUUUUUAAACAUAGAAUACCUCGGCCUCAUGCCGGACCCCUAGUAGGAGAGAUUUGUUCCAUCACGUGCAUUUGACUUAGGGGACUCAACACAGGGGUUGGGUCCAUCUAGGACAAGUGUAACCAAAAUAACAGAUCAUCCUGAUGCAUAUUUUACGUGCUAUCUGUUGCAUUUAUUUGCUUCGGGUUUGCAUGCUGACUGACUUUUGAUUGAUGGGAAAAUUGGAAAAAAGGAAAACAGUAGCAUUGUGAGGUUUAAGUGAGUUUAUAAUGAAAAAAUCAAUGUCCAAAUUGUAUUGAAACUCUGCCGAAUUUUGAGAAAAAUGAAAAGAAAGAAAAAAGAAGUGAAAGGUUGUUUUCAAAUAUAGUUGGUUUUAUUUCAUUUGUCCAAACUACGCUAGUUUGAUUAUCCAAACUUUCCUUUUGCAAAAAUAGCCCAAAAAAAAAACAAAAAGUUUUUUAUGCUGUAAAUAACUAAGGUGAUGUCAUUCUUGUCAAAAAUAGCCGAAUGUCCCUCAAAAGGGACUGACUUUAGUCAUUUUUCAAGGUUUUGGCCGGUUAGCCGAUACAACCUUAAAAUCUUCGUUUAGAAGUCCGAAAGGCCGUAUUGGCAAAGCUGGAUAUUCUAACAAUUUUGAAAAAAGAAUGGUCAUUUUGUUUCAUUAAAUAAAUAUAAGUCGUAGUUUGCUUUUGAGUAAAAUUACCUUAAUAAAUGUGCAGGAUGAGCACAAUUCAAAAUGAACCUUUCCAAGUUGGUGAAGAGAUCCCUUUGGAGCUACAUAUUUGGUGGCAUGAUUUGGGUAACGAUAGCCAGAAGGUUGUGACAAAAGCUUUGGGUGGUCUUACAGGGCUCUUGAAAGUUAAGCUGAGAAAGGACAUAAUUGAGGUACUGAUACUAUUUUGUGACACAACACACAAUGUAUUCCACUUUGCUGGGUUCAAAUCAACUCCUAUACUAGAAAAUAUAGUAGGCUACGCCGGUUUCGAAGGGAAUCUUAGAAAUCAAUACCCGGUAGCACCAAGAACAAUAACCCCUCACAAACUUUUGGACUUGUUAAGCAUCAGCCGGGACACUCUGAGAUGGAAAUUUGGCCAAGGGAUUCUGUAGCUUCUACUCUUGUACCGACGUUACGGGAAUCCUCGUCGCUUUGAGACGCCAGAUACUGGUCUUACUCAUGCAGAAAACCAAGACAAAUGGGAAGCUCGGAGAGGAUUAGAUUUUAUAAAGCGUUCCUGGGUGUUUUGAUUUUUCCCAGAAAAGACGGGAAAAUUAGAGUUGGGACUCGUGGGAUAGCCGACUUUAUGAUGAAAAAGGCUAAUGUGACUAUAAUGCCAAUGAUCUUGGCAAAUAUUUACCUAACUUUGACCUUUUGUCGAGAAGUAAGAAAGUUCUUUGAAGGGUGCAAUAUGUUGUUAUAACUAUGGAUGGAGGAACACCUUUUGUUAUCGCCCCAGAUAUCUGAAUUGUGGUAUGACUGGUUUUGAAUGCAUAAAAUAACAUGAAAAAUGGGUAGAGGGUUACGGGUUCCCGGAGGGUACACAAGCAUGGCAUCCCGACUUGAUAUCCUUGGUGCAAACAAAAUCGAAUGGACGUCCGGGUGUCUCUCGGUCGAUGAAGUAAUCUAUGUGUCGGCUGACGAGUGUUUUCUACUAUUGAUGGGUAUUCGGAGUAUCCAGCCUUAUGCUCUGCACAAAGUCCUAUGCUAGUUAGGCCGAUAUCAGACCAUCCCACACAAUAAAGAUUUGAGUCGGCAUAUCAUUGAGGUAGAACCAAAAUUUGCUUUUCUAGAAGAAAAAAUGCGCCGGAUUUGCAUCAGUGCAAAUUCUUAGAACCUAAAAGCCAAGUAUGAGAUUUAUCUAGAGGUGAGUUGGAACCUGGUUACCCUGCUUGGUAUGGUAAAAGAUCCCGAAUUCAUCAGGAGUCCGAAAGGCCCACGAAGAAACCCCAUGUCCAAUAGUUCACCGACGGAGCACAGCUACAGUGGGCAUAGUUGGUCAAGGAAAACGAAUACAGGGCCACGAUAGGAAAGCUGGAAGGGAAAAUAAAAAAUCUUCAAACGAGAAUGGUUUGCAAGUUGCGACAGACAAGGGUGAAAAGCAAAGACUAGCCAAAGAAAAUGAAGUCCUUCGAGCCCAUAUUCAGAAAAUAAAAAUAGCGGCAGAGAAUCCCAUCAGAAGUGUAAAAGACGAAAAGCUCAUUGACAACUUGAGGAGGAAAGUAGGGGAAUAUGGUUUUGACCUAAGCAAAGCAGAGGGUGAGCUAGCCAGGACCCAAAAGCAGCAUGCCAAAAAUGCACAAGAACGAGCAUGCUUGAUUGAACAGUUGAAAGAAAAGUACGACAAUGAGGUUGCGGGAUUAAAGAAGAGGGUCAUCACUGUUGAAAAUAAAAUGGUUAAGUAGGCAAAGGACUUUAAGGCUGAAAGAGAGCACUGUUACACAACAAUAGCACAUCUAGAAAGGGAUUUGCCUCAAUUUCCAGAACUGAAUCGGGUAGCCAAUCAAACUUUGGAAGCCAGGACCUAGCAGAUUGGGCGGUUGUUGCAAGAAAGGGGUGUCAUAAGAGAGAGGGUUUGUAGGAUCGCUGAUUACAUUGCAGUGAAGUGUAGCGGCUGUGAAGAUAUGAAAAGAUCCAUGUUCUUUUCCACUGCAGUGACCUUCGUUCGUCAAGUGAUGGAAGACCUCCAACACCUCCAAGGGGAUUUAGAACUCAGGCUUGCGGCAAGAUCGGCUGAUGUCCUGCGGGCCCCAAGAGAAUUAUAGGCAUUAAUGUAUUCGUGAUUGUCACUCGCGUAUGUUAGUCUGUGAAGUCUGUAUUUUCUUUUACUUGAGUCUGUAAUUGGUUGUCGAGUCUGUUGGUCUUGUUUCAAGUCGGUGUCUGUUAAUUUCUUUUCUCAUGUCUGUUAGUUUGGUCGUUGUAAUCAAAACUAUUUUACUUUAUGAAAAUAGAAAUUCCCAAAAAUAUUUUGUUUUUACACUUAUCUUCCAAAACUACGCUCGGUCUGAUUCAUGUGGGAUCAUGAUACGUAGGCAAUCUCCAUAGGAUUAGACCAUAACCAAUAGAAAAGCGAAAAAGAAAUAAGGAAAAGAGAGAAAAUAAAAGAGAGAGAAAAAUAAGAAACUGUGAGAAGGAAACAACGGCAAAAUAAGGGAGAGAAUAAUAAAACAAAGACGAAGCAGGCAAAAACAAGCUAAAUAAAAGAAAAAAAACAGCAACAAACAACAACAGACGAAAAGAGAAAGAGGAGUUGUGUAUAGGAUAAAAAGUCGGGAUUACACAAGCAGCCCAUCCAAUGCAUAAUAAAAACCGAUAACUGCUUAGGUGCAUUCAUCCCCGAAUAUAUGGUUGCAUAUCUGUUAAACCUGACUACUAACAAGUUUGUUAUUGUCUAUCUACUCACAUACAGGUGGUUAAUUUUGUGGCAUUCUGGCAUCUCACCCCUACAACACCCGUUCUACGAUCAAGUUGACUAUGGUCAACCAAGAGCCCGAUGCAAGUAUCAUCGAUCCCUCAAGAGAGGUGGAAGAGUUGGAUGUUAAUGCAAUGAAAGAAGAGGGGUCAAAAUGGAAACAACAAAUGGCUGAAAUGUACCAAGCAUGGGUAAAAGGGCAACCACCACCAGCUUAUCCGGCCAACCCGUCCUUCAUCCCGCCGUUAGCCCAGUCACAUGGUUACCUUCCACUAGCCCGCCCCCAAGCUUCCCCAUCUACCAACAGUACCAGGGCACAACUUCCAAGACACCACCAGCUCCACCACCCAAACUUGUUCCACACCCUCCUCCACCAGUUGCUCCUAUCUUUGUGGCACCUCCACCCGCCACACUGCACAGAUCCUCCAGUGAACCUUUGUUCCAAACCCAUGACAACGAGUAUUACCCCCCGGAACCUACUUUUAAAGCUCCAGAACCCCAUUCAUACACUCUUUAUUUUGAUCUCUCUACAGAGGCUGAGAAGCCAGCCAAAAAUCCUGAGCAAGAGGAUAUGCUCAGGAAAGUCAAAAGCUUAGAACAAUCAUUCAGAGACAUGAAGGGCCUGGGAGGUCAAGUAAGUGUGGCGUACAAAGAUAUAUGUUUGUUCCCAAAUGUACAAUUGCCAGUAUGGUUUAAGAUGACCAAGUUUGAUUUAUACGAUGGGCACGGUGAUCCAAUAGCAGACUUGAGAGGUUUUGCAGCAAAAUGAGGGGGCUGGAGUAAAGGACGAGUUGCUGAUGGCGUAUUUCAGUCAAAGACUGAGCGGUUUAGCAUUGGAAUGGUAUACCCGGCAAGACCACAGAAGGUGCUACACGUGGAAUGAUCUAGUCCAUGUGUUUGCUUUCCACUUUCAGUACAAUCUUGAAAUUAUUCCAGAUCGAAUGUCCUUGACGAAACUCGAAAAUAAGCACAGUAAGAGCUUUAGGGAGUAUGGCUUCCGUUGGAGAGAGCAGGCAGCGAGAGUCGAUCCUCUAAAAGGGAACUGAAAUGGUGGGUUACUUCGGACAGGCCUUAGAGCCUACUUACUUCGCUCACUUGGUAUCAGCUAUGGGAAAGUCCUUCAAUGAAGUGGUCAAAAUGGGAAACAUGGUAGAAGAAGGGCUCAAAUCUAACAAAAUCAUGAGCUAUUCAGCAACCAAGGUAACCAUCCAGGCCAUUCAAAGUGGAACUGGAGGAUCAAUUGGAAAGAAGAAUAAAGAGGAGGUAGUAACAAUUGACUCAGGUGCUUGGUUUGGACCCAGGGGUUCACCACAUUACAACCACCCUCGAUCCUACCACCAAACCUACCCCCACACUCCAUAUAGUCCACCCCAACACUAUACUUACCCCCAAACCCCCGCUUUUCUGUCCAUCAGGCACAAACAUAUUCUCAACCUCCCUCCCACGAACAACGGCGUGCGCCAACCCUACAAAAUAAUUACCUAGCUCCACAAAAUGCCUAUCUACCUCCAAAAGCCUACCAAAACCCCCUAAGACCAGCUUUUCGGGCCAACCAAGCUUUUAAGAAUGAGAGAUUGCAGAAUAAGAAAACCUUCACUCUAUUGAGAGAAUCCUAUACCAGCUUAUUUCACAGGUUGAGACAGUUAGAUAUGUUGAGGCCGAUUGAAGCAAAGUUGCCUAAUCCGCCCCAGAGAAAUCUUGAUUAUUCUGCCAGUUGAGAGUACUGUUUUGGUGCCCCAGGGCAUGACACAGAGAAAUGUUUGCAUCUGAUCCAAGAGCUCAUUGAUUCACAAUGGAUUGAGGUGCAAGUUCCAGAAGCACCCAAUACUAACCAGAACCCGCUACCUGCCCAUCAAGAAACAAACAUGAUUGAGAUAGUGCACAAAGAAGGAGAGCCCAUAAAGCCUUCACAAACUAUCAUGAUGAUCCAAGCCAGUAAGAGGAAGCCGGUUGAAAAACUAACAAGCGAGAUGUCGAUGCUUAAGUUGAGUGGAACAAACAGUGAGACUUUCGUUGUAACCAAGAAAGGAUCCUCGAGAUAUGGGAUAGUGAAACAAGAAAAUGUAAAAGUGGUGGUACCCGAGGUGGCAAGCAAGCCUGUUGUGGUUAUGGAAGGUGCUCGCACAGAGACCAUUACCAUCAAACCUGUAACUCAGCUACCAAUAGUCAACAAAAGGACCGUCGCUUGGAAUUAUGAGCGAGUAACAUUGACUUAAAAGAGGUUAGAAAAGAAGUUUGCGAGACCCAUGGAUUGACCCGUUGAGGAGGUGCUUUGCCUCUGAAGAGUUGAGAAAAUCUAAACCAUCCAAAGAUAACUCAACAUUGGUGAAGAAAGUUGUAACUGAAGAGGAAGCAGGGGAGUUAUUGAAAAAGAUGAAAGUGCAGGACUAUUCUAUUAUGGAACAACUGAGGAAACGCAUGCUCAAAUCUCAGUGUUGUCAUUGUUAAUUCAUUCGGACGAGCACCAUCGGGCACUCAUGAAGAUCCUGAAUAAGGCUCACAUUCCUGACAAAAUCUCAGUCAAUCACUUGGAAAAGUUAGCUAACAAGAUCUUCAAGGUAAACAUAGUCAUGUUUUCUGAUGAUGAAUUGCCUAUAGAGGGUACUGAACAUAAUAGAGCCCUUUAUCUUACGGUGAAGUGCGAAGAUUCUGUGGUUGCUCGAGUAUUGGUCGACAACGGUUCAAGUGCGAACAUCUGACCCUUUUCCACGUUGAACAAGAUGAAAGUGAAUGAUAAAAUAAUUUCAAGAACAGUAUUUGUGUACGAGGGUUCGACGGCGGAGGGAAAGAUUUGGUUGGUGACAUAAUACUCGAGCUAACAAUCGGACCAGUUGAUUUUACCAUGAAAUUCCAGGUGUUAGAUGCGGUUGUCUCUUACAAUAAGUUGUUGGGGUGACCCUAAAUCCAUGCCACAAAAACGGUCCCCGCUACUUUGUAUCAAAUGAUAAAAUUUAAAUGGGACAGAUAGGAAAUAGUUGUGCACGGCAAGGACAAUUUGUAUGUCUAUAGUGAUGCCAUUGUACCAUUCAUUGAGGCUGAUGAUGACAAGGAGCCUUGGGUAUAUCAGGUUUAUAACAUGGUAUCGGUAAAGAAGAUUCCAAGAGGGAACUGUGUUCUAGUACCGAAGCUAGCUGCCGCAUAAGUCAUGGUAGCCAUUGAAAUAUUGAGGAAUGGUUUUGUCCCAGUAAAAUGUUUGGGUGUGUCACUUCAAGGUAUCGUGCAACUGGUGUCUCUCCCCAAAAACAUGGACACCAUUGGUUUGGGAUUCAAGCCCACAAUUAUAGAUAUAAAGAGAGCAAGAUGGAUGAAGAAAAAAGCAUGGGUCCUUCCCAAGCCUGUGCUGCGUCUCUUCAGAUUAUUUUUUUAGGCCCGGCACUAAGAAGUGCCCGACAACAAGAAGUUCCAGUUCUAUGGUUGGUCCUGAUAAAGAUUGCUUGAAAAUCUCGAAACGUUGUUUGAAGAUGUGAAUGUGAUAGAAGCUGGAGAGGGCCCUAGCAAGGCAAACGUGCAAUUUGUUGGGUCCUGUGCAAAGAUCAAUAAUUGGGAAGCUACUCCUCUCCCGACCAGGAAGGAGUUGUGGUAGUUUGCUUUGAUUUUCUUUCAAUUUAUCUAGAUUAUUCCAGAGUUGUAAUUCAAAUUCUAUGUUCCGUUCGUUUGGAUGUAUAAACCUUGUUAUCUUCCAAUUUCAAUGAAAUGGAAUUUUCUUUUUUCCAUCAUUUCUGAUAGUUUUUAUUUUUUUUGCUUUUCUUUUCCUUCUUGUACAGUUCUUUUUAUGUUGGUUUCAAUGACAUGACAUGCAUAAGGAAUCUUCAGCCCAGUCUUGAAAGCCAAUCCAAUUCUGAAAUAAUAAUUCAAGAGAUAGAAUGUGAGAAUGAAUCAGAGUAUGAUGAGGAUGGGGCGUUUGAAGAAAUCAUUAAAGAAUUAAGCCACUUUGAGGAAAAACCCAAGCCAAACAUGAGCGAUACAGAAGCAUUCAAUAUACGGGACCCAGAUAAUAUCAAAGAAACUAAAAUAAGUGUCCAUCUUGAGCCACUUCUUAGGGAAGAGAUAAUCAAACCAUUGCUUGAAUACAAAGACAUUCGCAUGGUCUUAUGACGACAUGCCGGGUCCAAUAACUGACCCGGAGGUUCACAAAUUGCCCACUGACCCGGCAUGCCCUCGCAUCAAACAAAAGUUAAGGAAGUUUAAAACUAACAUGAGCAUAAAGAUCAAAGUGUAAAUCACAAAGCAGUUUUAGGCAAAGUCAUUCGAGUCACGCGGUAUCCACCUGGUUAGCCAAUAUUGUGCCUGUGCCAAAGAAGGAUGGAAAAACCAGGGUGUGUGUCGAUUAUCGUGACCUCAACAAGGCGAGUCCAAAGAAUAACUUCCCACUGCUGAAUAUCCACAUAUUAAUUGAUAAUUGUACAAAGCAUGAGAUUGGUUCUUUUGUGGAUUGUUACGGGGGCAAUCACCAGAUAUUGAUUGAUGAGGAGGAUGCGGAGAAGACAGGUACAUUCUCAAGAUCAAUCCUACGAAAUGCGCAUCUAGUGUUCCUUCGGGAAAGUUGUUGGUAUUCAUAGUCAGUCGUCGAGGUAUUGAGCUGGACCCGUCAAAGCUAUACAAGAGUUGUCACCUUUGAGGAACAAGACUGAGAUGAUGAGUCUAUUAGGGAGAUUGGAUUUUAUCAGCAGGGAUACUAUAGUCAAGUGGACAGAGGAAUGUUAGGAAGCAUUUGAUAAGAUAAAGGGGUAAUUGUCUAACCCACAUGUAUUGGUCCCACCAGAACUAGGGAGGACUUUGAUUCUGUAUCUGACGGUUCUGGACAAUUCAUUCGGAUGUGUGUUGGCGCAGCACGAUAUCACCGGCAGGAAAGAGCAGGCCAUAUACUACCUUAGCAAAAAUUUCACAUCUUACGAGGUUAAGUAUACUCAUCUUGAGAGGACAUGCUAUGCCCUAACUUGGGUAGCACAAAAGUUGAAACAUUACUUGUCAUCUUAUACUACUUACCUCAUUUCCAGCAUAGAUCCGUUAAAGUACAUCUUUCAAAAGCCUAUGCCCACAGGGAGGCUUGCAAAGUGGCAGAUCCUGCUCACAGAAUCUGACUUCGUCUAUGUGACUCAGACUGCGAUGAAAGCACAGGCAUUGGCUGACCAUUUGUCCGAGAACCUGGUGGAUGAAGAAUAUGAACCUCUGAAGACAUACUUCCCGAAUGAGAAGCUGAUGUAUAAUUAUGAAGUGGAAUAGGUUGAAAAGCCAUGAUUGAAACUACUCUUUGAUGGGGUCGCCAACAUGAAAGGCGUUGGGAUAGGUGCAGUACUUAUUUAUGAAAUAGGGCAUCACUACCCAAUUACAGCUCAACUCCGUUUCUAUUGCACUAACAAUAUGGCAGAAUAUGAGGCAUGCAUUUUGGGUAUGAGGUUAGCUGCAGACAUGGGUUUCUAGGAAGUCUUGGUCUUGGGGAAUCGGACCUUCUGGUACACCAGAUUCAAGGGGAAUGGGAAACAUGAGAUUUGAAACUCAUACCAUACCGGAAAUAUCUGCAUGAUCUUUGUCAAUGGUUUUGAUCAAUAGAGUUCAUGCAUAUUCUGAGAAUCCACAAUGAGGUUGUUGAUGCUUUGGCUACCCUGACAUCGAUGUUACAUCAUCUAGAUAAGGCUUAUGUUGACCCGCUGCAUAUACAAGUCCACGAUCAACAUGCUUAUUGUAAUGUGGUGGAAGAGGAGCUUGAUUGUGAAACCUUGGUUUCAUGAUAUCAAAGAAUAUAUCAGGAUGGGUGUGUACCCAGUAGAAGCUACAGGUGAUCAAAAGAGAACAAUUUGUCACUUAUCAAGCAGAGUUUUCUUCAGUGGAGGGGUAUUGUACAAAAGAACACUAGAUCUUGGGUUGUUGAUAUGCAUAGAUGCUAUACAAGCCACAACCAUCAUGACCAAGGUACAUUCCGGAGUUUGUGGACCGCAUAUAAGUGGAUAUGUCUUGGUAAAGAAGAUUCUCCGAGCAGGUUAUUAUUGGCUCACCAAGGAGCGAGACUGUAUCAGCUUCGUGCAGAAAUGUCAUCAAUGUCAGGUGCACAGAGAUCUGAUUCAUUCCCCACUAUCUCAAUUACAUACAAUGUCUGCACCAUGGCCCUUAAUUACUUGGGGCAUGGAUAUCAUUAGGCCCAACGAGCCAGCAGCAUCCAAUGGGCACAAGUUCAUUCUGGUGGCCAUUGAUUAUUUCACAAGUGGGUUGAAGCUAAAACUUUCAAGUCUGUGACCAAAAAGGCCAUGGUCGAUUUUGUGCAUUCAAAUAUUAUUUGUCGGUUCAGGAUCCAGAAGGUAAUCAUCACUGAUAAUGGUGCAAAUCUUAUGAGUCAUUUAAUGGAAGGGGUAUUUCAACAAUUUAAGAGUACGCAUCGCAAUUCCACUCCAUACCGUCCAAGGCAAAUGGAGCAGUUGAGGCAGCCAACAAGAAUAUAAAAAGAUACUUCGAAAAAUAGUGGAGGGUUCCAGGCAAUGACAUGAGGAGCUGCCCUUCGCAUUGUUGGGUUAUCGCACUACUGUUCAUACUUCAGUAUGGGCAACUCCCUAUUUGUUGGUGUAUGGUACAGAAGCGGUGAUACCGGCAGAGAUUGAAAUCCCAUCCCUUUAGAUUAUCGCUGAGGCUAAAAUUGAUGAUGACGAGUCGGUCAAAACCCGCCUGGAGCAAUUGGAGUUUGAUUGACGAGAAAAGAUUAGCAGUAGUAUGUCAUGGCCAGUUGUAUCAACAGAGAAUGGCCAGAUCAUAUAACAAGAAAGUGCGCCCACAAAUGUUUGAAAUUGGUCAGUUAGCAUUGAAACGCAUCCUCCCUCAUCGGGCGGAGGCAAAGGGAAAGUUCUCCUCGAAUUGGCGGGGCCGUUCAUCGUGAUUAGAGAGUUGUCCAAUAGGGCUUUUUAUUUAACAGAUGUAGGAGGCAAGUAUAUAGAAGAUGCAAUUAAGGUAUACUAUGUAUGAUUUUCUUUGGUUAAAUUGUACUUGUUUGUAGUUGGCAUAUUUUGAAGAUUGAAAUGACGAGGGAAUUUUGUUCUAAUAUCUAAAUACUUUAUCCUUUGUUACCCUUUUUGAGCCUUAUUUGUUUUUCAUACCCCUAUUUCGGAAUCAAUAGCAAAAUCAGAAACGCAAGCGUGAAAGAUAAGUAAAGGAAAGAAUGAAAAGAAGAAAAAACAGAAAAAAAGAGAGAGAGAAAAGGUAAUAAAAAGAAAGAAAAGAGAAGAAAAUAAAAAAAAAAGAAAAAGACAAAAAAACAACAACAAAACGACAAAACAAUAAAAGAAAAAAAGAAGAAAAUAAAGAAAAUAAGAGAGAGAGAGAGGAAGAAACAGGAAAGAGAAAUCACAACAACAAAGUAAUUUUUAUGUCAUGAACUACGUUCGACCUGAUUCCUUGUAAGGAUGCGUCGGCAACCUCAUGGUUCGGUCCCAUCAAAGUAAAAAUCCAAAGGUCCCCAAGCAAGAAACUGGGGCAGAAGUUGUGGUUGUUGUAAAAAAUUUGAUUCUGGAAGUUGUAAGGUUGAGCCCAUGUAAAUUAUUUUGAGCAGUGGAUACCCUUUCUUUCUAAUCUCGUCCAAAAGCCCACAUUACGGUCCAAAGAAAGACCUGCUGAUCAAUCGUCAAAGAGGCCAAGUCAAACAACUAGAGAUAAUUACUAUUAGGGGCAACACUCAAGUCCAAACAAAGAAAAUGAAAAAUGAGAGAGUUUUACUGGUCAAAACCCUUACGGGCACUGUAAGACAACGAGAGUUGAGAGAAAACCAAAAUGAGAGAGUCUUAUUGGUGAUAAACCUCAUAGGCAUUGUAGGGCGAUGAGAGCUGAGAGAAAUGAAAAAUGAGAGAGUCUUAUUGGUGAAAAUCCUCACGGGCACCCUAAGGUGAAAGCAAGUUGAGAGAUGAACAAACAGAAGAGGUCUGUGGGCGAAAACCUGCUUAGGGCACAGCAGUAUGAGCAAGGUCAAGGUUUGGUUAAAGAAAUCGGGUUACAAAAACCCAGGACAACAAACCAUGGCGACUAAGAGCCGAUUGGUUCGACAUACUGGGCCGACUAAGCCGAAAUGUAUGUCAUAAUCAUUGGUACCAUCUGUUCCACUCAGAUAAGUCUCUUUUCUUUCUCCCUUUUAGCAGCCAUCCAGUUUUGGAUUCUUCUACUCCUUGAACCUCGAAGUCAUUGCAUUUCAUUUUCUUUCGGGUUCCUAUUUCUCUAAGAUGUUUCAAGGUCAAUUUUAUUUUAGCAAGUAAGAAAGAAUUUCAAAUCCUACUACCAGCUCCUAAAGGUGCAAGGCACAGUAUGGCCAGAACAUACAAAAAACAACAUGAUGUAAAGUGGGAUAUAAAGAAUCACCAAAAGCUUCAUUGGCGGAAUGAUUUUGUAAUUUCAGGAGAGAAGCAAAGAUUCUGAUAAAGGGGUCAGGAUACAAUUGCAACGGUUUGGGUACGGAACACUCGGUUUAUCCAAGGUCUUGAGGCUUGAAAGUUAGGCAGGAAAUCAGGAGGUUCAGGGCUAGUUCGGGGAAGCUAGUCAAGACAAAGCAUGACAAUAUGGAGGCCACUUUCAGCAAGAAUGCCGCAAACUAACCACCAUAUUUUAAACUGACAAGAUUUUUCUUUGAUUGAAAUAGGGGCAGAAAGUUUUGAUUGUUUCGAGGAAACCCUAUGUAGGGGAAAGGCAAGCACCAAGCAGGUAUAACAGUAAAAUUUCAGGACCCUCCUGGAUAACGGGACCUAGUUAAAGUUCAAAAUAAUCAUGAAUAGCGAAAGGAAUAUAAGUUGGCUUAAACAUUUGUAUGCUUGAGAUAGAAUCUGAUUAGGAAUUCUCAGGACCCUCCUGGAAAAUAGGACCUAGUUUAAAAUUUAAAACAUUUAUGAGUAACAAGAUCUAGCAAAGGUCUUACCCCAAGGACAAAUAAGUUGGCUUCACAGUUCUUAUUUUAAGAUAAGAUUGAGUUUGGAGUUUUCAUGACCCUCCUGAACAAUGGGACUUAGCUUUAAGAUUUCUAUCAGAUAACAAGAUGUAGCUUUAAUAUUUCUAUUAGAUAACAAGAUGUAGCGUAAGUUCUACUGUAGGGUAGUAUAAUUCAUCCAUAAAGAAUUGUCACUCUUAGGAUGAAAUGUGACUUUGGAUUGUCAGGGCCCUCAUGGAUAAUGGGACGUAGUUAUAAGGUUUGCUUAGAUAACAAGAUAUAGUGGAAGUCGUACCUUCAGUAUAUAUAACGUAGAUUAAAGUUUUCUUUUAACUAGGGGUUUUCAGGACCCUCAUAGAUAGUAGAAUGUAGGUUUAAAUUUUUCUUAGAUACAAGAUAUAGCGGAAGUAAUACCUCCGGAAAAUAUAACUUAGAUUUAAAAUUGUUGUUUAAUUAAGAGUUGUCAGGACCCUCCUAGAUAAUGGGGUGUAGUUCUAAGAUUGGCUAGAUAACAAGAUGUAGCGGAAGUAAUACCUUUAGAAAAAUAAGUCAGAUUUAAAGCUGUCAAGACCUUCCUAGAUAAUGCGACCUAGCUUUCAAAUUCUUAGUGAUAUUUGUAACGUGGUUCAGUUUAACACUCACAUAUGUACCCAUCUACAAAACUAGGGUAGAAAAUUUUCUUUAUUGUGUUUAUUUUUGUUGAAAUCAGGUAUCCACCUGAAGAACAAGGUAAUACAAUUCAAGUUUUGGAAAUCAGGAGUCACUUGAAGAACAAUGGUAUACAGCUCAAGUUUCAGCAAUCAGGCGCCUACCUGGAAAAUAAUGGAAGACAGUUCAAGUUUUGCAAAUCAGGAGCCUACCUGGAGAACAAGGGAAUACAUUUCAAGUUUCGACAAUCAGCAUCCCACCUAGAGAAUAAGGGACUACAAUUCAAUUUUUGGCAAUCAGGAGCCCACCAGGAGAACUAGGGAACACAAUUCAAGUUUUAGUAAUCAGGAGCCCACCUAGAGAACAAGGGAAUAUAGUUCAAGUUUCGGGAAUCAGGAGCCCGCUUGGAGAACAAGGGAAUAUAAUUCUAGUUUUGGCAAUAAGGAGCCAGCCUGGAGAAUAAGGGAACACAAUUCAAGUUUUGGCAAUCAGGAGCCCACCUGGAGAAUGAAGGAACAGAACUCUUUUGGUAAUCAGAAACCACCUGGAGAAUAAGGGAAUGCAAUUCAAGUUUUGGCAAUCAGGAGCCCACCUGGAGAACGAGGAAACACAAUUCAAGUUUCAGUAAUCAAGAGUCUGCAUGGAGACCAAGGGAAUACAAUUCAAGUUUCGGCAAUCAGGAGCUCCUCUGGAGAACAAAGGAAUACAGUUAAUGUUUUGGCAAUCAGGAGCUCCCCUGGAGAAUAAGGAAAUACAGUUCAAGUUUCGGCAAUCAGGAGCCCCCUGGAGAACAAGGGAAUACAAUUCUACUUUUGAAAAUUAGAAUCCCAUCUGGAGAACUAGGGAACAUAAUUCAAAUUUUGGCAAUUAGGAUCCCACCUGGAGAACUAGGGAACACGAUUCAAGUUUUGGUGAUUAGGAGCCCACGUGGAAAACAAGGGAAUACAGUUCAAGUUUUGGUAAUCAGGAGCAUACUUGGAGAGCAACGGAAUACAGGUCAAGUUUUGGCAAUCAGGAGCCUGCCUUGAGAACAAGGGAACACAAUCCAAGUUUCAGCAAUCAGGAGCCCACCUGGAGAACAAGGGAACACAAUUCAAGUUCAUCAAUCAAGAGAUCGCCUGGAGAAGAAGGAAAUACAGUUCAAAUUUUGGUAAUCCGGAGCCCACCUGGAGAACAAGGGAAUGCAAUUCAUGUCUUGGUUACCAGGCACCCACCUGAAGUACAAGGAACACAAUCUGAGGUCAGCAAUUAGGCAUCCACCUAGAAAAGGGAGAACAUCUCAGAUUACAAUUCAAGUCAACAAGGAUCACAAGAUUAAGUGUUAAGAUAUAGAUAUGUUUUUUUUGUAGCUCAUUAAUCAUAGUCUAGUAGCAGUGCAACAAGGGAUUCGUCAAGCAGUAGCAGUAGUGCAGCAACAGUGAAAUCACAGCUCCUGGUAGUCCUAGUUACCAAACAUUCCUGAACUACACAGACCUGAUUCCUUUUUAGCCAAGGAUAUGUAGGCAACCUUAAUAGUAGGGUGCGGUCAAAUCUUUCAAAAGUUCUUCCAGCGGAGUAUUCAAACAGGCAAAAAUCGCUCUUAUCCUCUCGCUUUAUCUUUGCACGAAAACUCUUCGCGUUUCCGAGAAAAAAGGGGCAGCUGUGAGACACGUGAUUUGUGCCCUAUAAGAAUUACUCCCAUAAAUUCAUAAGAAAAUAAUUCUUUUUCAGUGUUUGCAGGAAAGAAAGCCCUGACCUAGUAUUUUAUUUUGACCGCCAGAAGCUGAACCCAAACCAAACCCUAAGCAAAGAAGGGAUGUGCCUUAGUUCAUUCUCGAGGACGGGAUUUUUUUAUUUUGGUUUUAAUUAGGUGUAGUAAGCAUUAGAUGUAUUUAAUUAGGAUAAUUUGAUUAUAGAUUAAUAUAGGUUUGUUUUUAUUUUAUUUUUAUUCAAAAAAGAAUUUUAAAAAAUCAGAAAAAUGGAAAAAAGAAAGAAAAGAAGAAAUAAAAAGGAAUUGAAAAGGAAGUAAAAGAAGGCUAGAUUGGGCCAUUUCAGAUUUUAUUCCUCCAAGCCCAAAUUCUUUUGCUUGUAAUCCGGCCAAACCCUUCUAAAAUACCAGCCCCAAGUGGCCCAAAACCCAUUCCCAAAUGCUCGACCCCAUCACCUCCUAAAACGAUCCCGUUUAAUUGAUUUUGAUAUGAGCCGUCGGAGUAAUCUAAUCCAAAGGCUCUUAGCUAAAUAUUAUUAUGUAUAUAUCAGUCUGAAACCCUUAACCCCCCCUCCCCAUCUCGUCUCUUUCAGAGACCAACUCCCUCCCCCCCAAACCCUUAUUAGCAUGUCGCCAUGAAAUCCUUCACCACGACUGGUACUGCCGCCUCUAAUUGACACCAAAAUAAAACCCUACAGACUCCAUAACCUCCUCACCACAAAUCUCCAUCCUAUUUUCUUCGAACAUUUCUGAAUAUCCUCAAAUAUCAAAUCAGAAAAUUGAGUCCUAAAUUCCAAAACAUCAAAUGGGUAGGGCUUUGAAGAUUUAGCGAAAUCGACUUUAGUCGCGUGUUGUCAGUUGAGAACACAUGAUUAAGGUCUAUCUCGGCCAAAAUCAAAGAUUUCAUUGAAGCAUUGGUUCUGAAAUUGUGGUCCG
rnacentral:lncRNA from 1 species